UACGUAGGGGGCUAGCGUUGUCCGGAAUCAUUGGGCGUAAAGAGCGUGUAGGCGGCCCGGUAAGUCCGCUGUGAAAGUCGGGGGCUCAACCCUCGGAUGCCGGUGGAUACUGUCGGGCUCGAGUACGGAAGAGGCGAGUGGAAUUCCUGGUGUAGCGGUGAAAUGCGCAGAUAUCAGGAGGAACACCGAUGGCGAAGGCAGGUCUCUGGGCCACUACUGACGCUGAGGCGCGACAGCGUGGGGAGCAAACAGG
rnacentral:rRNA from 1 species